UACGUAGGGUGCAAGCGUUGUCCGGAAUUAUUGGGCGUAAAGAGCUCGUAGGCGGUUUGUCGCGUCUGCCGUGAAAGUCCGGGGCUCAACUCCGGAUCUGCGGUGGGUACGGGCAGACUAGAGUGAUGUAGGGGAGACUGGAAUUCCUGGUGUAGCGGUGAAAUGCGCAGAUAUCAGGAGGAACACCGAUGGCGAAGGCAGGUCUCUGGGCAUUAACUGACGCUGAGGAGCGAAAGCAUGGGGGGCGAACAGG
rnacentral:rRNA from 1 species